GAAGGUGAGUAUUGGAUAAAAUGGUGAGGGUGAUAUUUUGGAGACACGGCCGGCUCAAUGUAUUAGAAAGUUAAGUAAGGGCUUAGGGCCCCAUUUUGUAAAGGGCCCCCUACUUACCCAAAUCCUUUAAUGUCCGAUUUUUGAUACCUUCUUCUCCAUUCGCUGAUAUGUAUGCCUCCAUUCACUGAUAUGCACGCCUGACGACUCAAAUCAAAAGCGACAAUCACACUUCUAUUCUUCUUCCUUCCUUCUCCAUUCUCGCACUUUGAAUAUUGAUUAUCAAUUUUGGGCUUCUACAAUCUCGAUUCUUGAACACUGAAAGGCUCCCUGAACCGCUGUAAUUUUUUCAUUCUCCACUCUCCGCUUCUCUGAUUCUUCAUUGUUCAAAAAUCUCUGAUGAUUCAUUGACUCAAGGUAUGUGCAGUGUUUUCACUUAAUUUUUUUUUCAUCUGGUUUUCUAUUAGGAUUAAAAGAGGAUUAGGGUUAAUUUUUCCCAUUAUCUAAUUUUCCAUUGUUUUUUGUUUAUUGAUUAAUGCUCGGUUUCUUUGUUUCUCAUUGAUUUUUGAUUUUUGUGUUAGUGUUUCCACUCAUAUUUUGAGUUGUUGGCUUGCUGCUUGAAGCUAAGGAAUGUUGUCCUUUUAAUUAUAACACUGGAAGUUUGAUUUAGUGAUUUUCGAUUUCUUUGUCCCUUUGUUUAUGUAACUUGAAGCUAAAGAAUGUUGGUUAUUGAUCGUUUUCUAUGCAUGUGGCUUGUUCAUUUGAUUUCCAUGUUAGAGUUGUAUAUAUUCAAAAUAAUCCUAUAAGUUUGAGUUCUCUAUUUAAUUAAAACUAUGCAAGUAUGGAAGUUUAAAUAGAAAAAAAUAACCUUCACUUUUAUACUUAUAGAAUUGAAGUACAAUUUAGACAAAAAAGCCCCAAAUUUUUGGUUGACUUAGAGCCCUCAAUCUCGUUGAGUCGUCCCUGUUUGGAGAUAUAUUAUAUUUUGAUGAACAUAUGGUAGUGUUAGUAAUUUCUAAUAUCUAAUUAUUCAUAAAAUAUAUUAAAAAUUAAUAUUCUAUUAAAUGUGCAUUAUAUGCUUGAUAUGUUAUAAAAGGCUAUUCAUUGUCAUUUAAUUAGUUUUAUAAAUUAGAGUUUAAUGGAAACUCUAAUAUUUAUAUAUAAAUAGUGGAUGAUUCCCAACAUUUGACAUGUAUAUAACAUUUUUUCUUCAUACAUAAAAAUUAGUGAUUUAAAAUGUUGUAUUGUAGAAUUAUAUAAUGCAUAAACGUUAUGUAUGACAAAAAAACACUUUUGUGUACGAAUCACUUUCACAUUUUGCCGAAUACAAAUCAAUCUCUCGCAUAAUCAUUGAUCCCAUCAGCAUAGAUUGCUUGAAGAAAUGCUAAGAGUCUUUGUUAAAGAAGACCAUUACACAAGUUUUACUUUGUCGACCGAAUUCCGCAUCAAGAAGACGUCACAAUUGAUCAAUAAACAAAAAGUACGUAUUUCUUUUAUAUCUUGAUGAUUCAAUAAUAUUGUUCCAUCUAUGGUUUAUAGUAUUAUAGUAACAAGUGGUAUGAGAGGCACAAUAUAUAUUGAAUUGUCUUUUUACAUUCUCAUUUUUUAAAUCUUUUUUUUUUAAUGAACAAAAGUUUUCAUCGACAUUGUUUAAUCGGAAGUAGUUCAAUUGUCAGAAAAUUGAACAAGAUUAUAGUAUUUGGGUUGAAGUUCUUUUUUUGCUCCAUGAAUAUAGAUAUGUGUUUAAGGAAACCAUUAUUAAUUAUUAAUAAUAAAUAAAACAUAACUGGGGUUGUUGAGAGGAGAAAUUCAAUUGUUAUCCUCCACCCAAAAUAGCACGAUCCAUUUUAGUCCAAGUUCUAAUUUAUUUAAAUCAUUUAGGUUGGGAAAUAACUUUUUUAUAAAGUUUUACCAAAAGGUUUAAGAAAAAGUAUGUCUAAAAUUAUAAAACAAAUUGCGUCAAGUUUGUUGCCAGUAAGGGUUAAGGUUGUUUUAUGCAGCGAUGUUUUUUUUCCCACUGUAAUACGUUUAUGGCCGUAAAAUUUCUUACCAAGAUCUUCGUUUCAUGUUUUUGUACUUUAUAUGUGAUUGGUUUGAAAUUGGAUAAAGUUUUUGUGCAAGAUACCACCCAAUUAAUUUUUGUGUUUUAUUAUUGUUAUUAUUUAAUAGUAAUUGUUGAGUGUAAUCAGUAAUGGGUUAUGUUGGGGGUUAUGAAAAAAAAAAAUUAGCUUCCGUUUUUGGUCAUGGAAAUGACGAUGGGCCCACUUUAUUUCAUUUUCUUUUGGAACCACUUUUGAACUCUUAAGUCAUUAAGAUUUUUUAUAAGUUGUGACCUCGGUUACAUAUUUCUAUGAGUUAUUUUUUUUUGAGUAAAUUACACGAAUGGUCGUUAUGGUUAACAGUAAUUUGUGUGUUUGGUCCCUAACUUAUAUUUUUGAACUCGGAAGAUCCAUAUUAUUUGUUUUUGUUAUGCGUUUGGUCCAUAUUUUACCUAAAAAACUAUUUUUCCCUUGAUUUUUUAAUUUAUUUAAAUAAACACAACCCUAGGUAAAAGACCUUUUUACCCUUUUCUAACUUGGCCAAAGGCCAAAGCCUAAUCCAACUAUCCAAAAAGCCCAAUUUCCAAAAUAAUCACCCAAAGCCGAAAUAUGACCCAAUUUUCCAAAUCGAGCCCAAAUUCCUUCAUCGACCUUCAACCAAAGGAGUCCAAUAAAAAGCAUCAGCCCAAAAAUAGAAUUGUGAUGGCCCAACAAGGGCCAAGACUACCAAGGUCCAAAAACGGGCCCAUGAAUGUGAGCCCAACAGUUUGAAGCCCAAUCUACUGAGUACGCGGGGCGUACUCAGCUCAUAUGCUUGGCGUACUCGCUUUAGGGAUUGUACGCGUAGCGUACCUGCUUAUACAUCCAGAGUACUCCACCAACAUGGCCAACUUCCAUUAUUCAGCUCUUAAUCGAUUAAGACUUCAACCCAAACUCAUAUCUGACUUCCUUAAGGUGGUUUAUCACGUAAAAUUGCCAAAUUUGCAUGCAAGCAUGGCUUAAUGGGGCUCUAGAGCUCAAAAGAGCUUAAUAAAUGACUUAACACAUGCAUGAAACCGAAACCACCAUAAAGUUUGCACCUUUAUGCUUAAGAAACCCUUAAUUUGCCCAGAUCUACAAGGAUAAGCUCCAUAAACGACCUUAGCUCACAAGCACCAACGAAGGGGGACCAAAUUAGCCAAAACAAGCCAAGGGGUAGAUCUAUGAAAUGAGUUGACAAGCUAUAAGCUUUAUACCUCACAAGCCACGAAAUGGAGGUGCUAAGGUUGGAUCUCUAAGCUCCUCUCUAAAGGAUGAGUCUUCAACCUUCUCCUUCCCCUUCAAGAUGCACAAAAUACCACUAGAAAAGCUUCACAGGAGCUCAAAAGCACCAACAAAAGGCUAUGAAAUGAAUUUAGGGUUUUUGGAUGUGGAGGCUGGUCUAGAAAUGAUCAAAUGAGGCUAUAAUAUGGAUUAGAUAGGGUGCAAGACCUAAAAUUAGGGUUCAAACUUGCUCACAUACGAUAAGCGUACUCCAUGUAUGCCCUGCGUACGUGGAUGAGCUCCACGACAACCAUCGGCUAGUACGCCUAGCGUAUAAGGAGUACGCCCAACGUACUCCAACUUUCCUAAAGUUGGUGAUUCUGCCCCCUAAGGACCAAUUCUACAAAACAUCAACACACCAAUGGGUCUAAACUGAAAGGUAUUUGAAUCGAGUGUUACAAGUCAUGAAGAAAGUCUAGCACAACAUGACACCAAGUGUCCUAUACUUCACAUACAUACCAAGGAAUUAUCCAGAUCAACUAGCAUGCUCGUACUCUAAUAGUACAUCUAUCCUAUCAUGUAAAUGAUAUAAAAUGUCAUAUGUGGCAUAGUGAGAAAAAUCACAUUAAUCGUAGAACUAGAGAAGCACAACAACACUCUCACUCCUUGCUCUGAUCAAUCCUCAACCCAAAACUUGCAAGUUUAAUCCAAGGUCAAACCGGCCAAAAGUCAAUGAUUAACAAAAGUCAACGCUCAACUACACCGUUGAGACCUCUUGGCCACGUCAUAGGCAUGUCAAGACAAAAAAUUCGACAUGCAGGAUACCACCACAUGAUAGGACCUCCUUGGCUACGUUUUGGUCGAUGCCAGGAAGCCAUUUUCACAUUAAGAGCUUUAUCCCUAAAGAACAAGGUUCGAAACUUUAGAUAUAAUCCUUUUCAUUAACUUAAUAGACAACGAUGAGUUAAGAACUCUUUAGAUCGAUUAGAUCUUUAACAGGUGAAUAAACAAGAACAAUAAAUACUAGAACAAUCAAUGAAUCAAUCCGUAUGUCAAAUGAUUAAAAUAUAGUCACACCUCAGAAGAGCUUGAUUAAGAACUUCCUCUGUAGAAAGACAAACCCUAGAAAGACAAGGAUGCAUGCAUGCACCUUAUAUACUAAACCCUAGAAAGACAAACACGGUUGGACAGGCCCAAACCAUGAUUACAAAAUAGACCAAAUAACAUAGGCCCAAUAACGCAACACAAUAUCUUCAAUAAGCUCCCCCUUUGCGUUAAGUGAAACCAUGGCCAUGUUAAUUCAAGAUUUGCUUCUGCACUUCAUAGACUUUAGGAAUGAAACUCAGCAGCAGCUUGUGAACAUGAAUAUACCAAGUGAUCACAUCAGUGAAACACUUCACAUCAUCUUUGUUGUUUCCCUUAUACUCACUACUAGAAAAACAGCCUUUAAUGACGCGCAAACAAUGACAAGCAGUGAUUUACGAUACACAAAAGAAUGCGUCCUAAAAAUAAUGUCAUAUCUUAUAAAAUUUGAAGGAUAGAGGACACACAUUUGUGCGUGCCCUAAAAUUGGUGUCCAAAAAAAAUAAGGAGGGCGCAUAUGAUAAAAUGUGUGUCGUGUGCGCACGUCGCUUUAUAUAUUUUUUUUUCAUAAACACUCGUUUUAGAAGUUUGCGGGGGAAAUGAAAUUCCAAAAGUUUGAAAAGUCGCCAUGCUCUCCUCUACCUUCUUUCAAUCGUUCUUCUCUCUCUCUCUCUCUCACAAUCAAAUACCAAAAAUCGACUAUUGUUGGAACUAGGGUUCCGGUUCUUAGUGAAAUCAAAAGUUUUUUGGUCACCAGGCCAUGAAAUUGAUCAAAGGGGCACAAUUGUUAGAACACGACUAUUAUUGGAACCAGGGCUUCAGUUCAUAAACCCUCCAUCUACUUCUCUCGAUCUUCAGUUCCUCAAGUACUUUCUCAGCCUCUCAAUCAAUAGAAGAGUUGUAUCACAACUACAAAUUUCGAGUAAUUUCCAUAUCAAGUAGAACAACAGCUCCAUUACAGUCAAGGUCUUGAAACUCCAUGGUCAAUCACCAUCAACAUUCUGCUUCUUUAUUUGUUCCACAGACGAUUCUUUGGAAGACGAGAGAGAUUUGGAUCAGAUUAUGGCAGAUCGUAGGGCUGCAGAGAUUGAGCUUGACACCAUGGAGGGUGUUGCGUCAAGGAAUCAUGUACAUCCAUCUUGGGUCAAAUCUGAAUUACUAAGCUAUAAACAGGUUUCCACAUCAAUGGUACAACACAUGCUUGAUUACGUUUUGGAAAAUUCAAGUCCAUUAACUGGUACCCCACAUGGAAAAAAGAAAAAACAAAGUAACAACCCAUUUGAAACCUGAUGAUGCGGGCCAUACCCGAUGCAGCAUUUUGUUACUAAAGAGCGACAUAGACAACAGAAUAUAAUGUUAAAAACGUUUAUGAAGUCCACAAGCUUCUAUUGCAGGGUCUGGUGCUAGGUGGCAACUUGAAACCGAUUGAUGAUAAUGCAGAUGCAACAAGUGAUAUAACCGAACAUUAUUGGUCCUAUUCUUAUACACACAAGUCAGUCAACAAAAACAAGUCUUAUUUAAAGGAAAGCAAUGAGAUUCUACUAAAAGAUAGGUCCUAUUCCUAUACACACAAGUCAGACACCAAAAACAACAUCGUACCUCACACACCAUACGACCCUACUAGAUCUGUACAAGAAAUACUACCAUCAUAAACAAACACAUUAGUUGUUGCAACCUAAAAGCUUCAGAGUAUAAAUCCACUUUCCAAAUCCAAAAUCUUCAUUGUAAAAGUCAACACAACUACUGUAUUUCAAGGUCUGAUCAUAAACAAACACAUCAGCUAGGAUACAAUCACACAACUCGAGGAAGGGUUGGAUUCCCUGAAGGAGGCACCACUAUCUUACGGUGGUCCUGUCAUAGCACAUGAACUCCCACUUGUUUCCUUAACUCGAGAAUCUUCUGGAAACGAUGAACACCAUGAAGUUCUACUAGACAUCUACUUCCUUGAUCAAUGGGCCACAAUCAAUUUAAUAUAAAAUCUCAAGUUACACAAUCGUUGAAUGACUGAUUACUGGCUUUUUGUGGGGUAUUCAUCAUGGGGGUGGACCCAACUUUUUGAUGAGAUUGCUGAUGGAUCAUGGAACAUAAUUAGUGGUGUUCUUCUUGGGGCAUGCUUAUAUGGAGAAAAAAGUGCAUCAAGUUCAACUGAUGGGAUCAAGAAUCAGGUGGAUGGGGGAGGGAAAUGAAAAGAUCCCUAAAGAUGUCUCCUUGGAGCACUGAUUUAUUGCUUGUUGCACCUUUAGGUAUCAGAAGCGACUACUUUCAUUGGUGUGGGGGUGUUAUGGGAAAAUACGAUGCAGGGGAA